AUUGAACGCUGGCGGCAGGCCUAACACAUGCAAGUCGAACGGUAGCACAGAGAGCUUGCUCUCGGGUGACGAGUGGCGGACGGGUGAGUAAUGUCUGGGAAACUGCCCGAUGGAGGGGGAUAACUACUGGAAACGGUAGCUAAUACCGCAUAAUGUCGCAAGACCAAAGAGGGGGACCUUCGGGCCUCUUGCCAUCGGAUGUGCCCAGAUGGGAUUAGCUAGUUGGUGAGGUAAUGGCUCACCAAGGCGACGAUCCCUAGCUGGUCUGAGAGGAUGACCAGCCACACUGGAACUGAGACACGGUCCAGACUCCUACGGGAGGCAGCAGUGGGGAAUAUUGCACAAUGGGCGCAAGCCUGAUGCAGCCAUGCCGCGUGUGUGAAGAAGGCCUUCGGGUUGUAAAGCACUUUCAGCGGGGAGGAAGGAAAUACGGUUAAUAACCGUGUUGAUUGACGUUACCCGCAGAAGAAGCACCGGCUAACUCCGUG
rnacentral:rRNA from 1 species